UAUACUCAUAUACAUAUAGAUUUUGUGAUUAGAAAGCAUGUCCAACUAAAAUAAAAAGAUCAAUGUCAACUGUUUUUGUCUAGCUGAGACAAAGAUCGACCAUGGUACCAAUUUUUAUUUUGGCAUUUACAUGCAUUUGCUGCCUCCUUUUACUUGUUAAACUGAAAUAUACAUGGUUAAACUGCAAAUGUUACCUUAAUUAAAUAUAACAGCAUUAAUAAGGAUUUAUAAAGUAUGUUUUAAUAAGGGAAGGAAUUUUUCCAGCUGUAUAUAUAUUGCAUUUAUAUUGCAGAAUAAGCAUUGAUUGUUAUAGAUACAAUGAAUAAAUAACGCU
rnacentral:sRNA from 1 species